UGCAAGUCGAACGAGAACAGAGUAGCUUGCUAUUCUAAGUAAAGUGGCGCACGGGUGAGUAACGCGUGGAUAAUCUACCCCUGAAUUGGGAAUAACAUGGCGAAAGUCGUGCUAAUACCGAAUAAUAUCAUGAUGACUUCGGUUUUUAUGAUCAAAGAUAGCCUCUGUAUAUGCUAUUGUUUGGGGAUGAGUCCGCGUGUCAUUAGCUAGUUGGUAAGGUAACGGCUUACCAAGGCAACGAUGACUAGCUGGUCUGAGAGGAUGAUCAGCCACACUGGAACUGAGACACGGUCCAGACUCCUACGGGAGGCAGCAGUGAGGAAUUUUGCGCAAUGGGGGCAACCCUGACGCAGCAACGCCGCGUGAGUGAAGAAGGCUUUAGGGUCGUAAAGCUCUGUCGAAUGGGAAGAAUGAGUAUGCAAUGAAUAAGUGUAUACAGUGACGGUACCAUUAGAGGAAGCACCGGCUAACUCCGUGCCAGCAGCCGCGGUAAUACGGGGGGUGCAAGCGUUAUUCGGAAUCAUUGGGCGUAAAGAGCGCGUAGGCGGACAUAUAAGUCAGCUGUGAAAGCCCGGGGCUUAACCCCGGAAGUGCAGUUGAUACUGUAUGUCUGAAUAUGGGAGAGGAAAGUGGAAUUCCUGGUGUAGCGGUGAAAUG
rnacentral:rRNA from 1 species